rnacentral:lncRNA from 1 species
UCAGCUUUGUCUUCCCCUCCACCCGACCCCCAGACUGACCCUGGGCUGCUCCAUCCUUGUAAGGCCUGAAGAACAGAUCUCAUGUGGCUUUGGACUGAGCGCUCUGGACCCAUUAAUGCAAGGUCUGACUCUUCCAGACUGAGAGACUGCUGAAGGAAGAAGCAGUGACCCACGGCUGAGUACAGUGGCCAGGGUUCCAGGGUACACAUCUGUCAAUUCACCCCUCUGGAGGCAUGGGCUGCUGGGAGGUGAAAGAGUUCAUACAGCCAACCAGGAAGCAGUCACUCUGACAAGCCAAGCGAAGAGAUGUUUGGCCACCUGCAUCUGACUUCUAGAUCGGCUUCUGUUCUUGGGACCAGCAAUGCUUGAAUGAAAAGCUCUGCUGAUUGCCUGCUGCAGAGAAGCCUGGACCCACAGGGCACCGGGCAUGAAGGAAAGCAAGCGGUUCCGUGUUGAAGGCAAGGGUCUCUGUCCUGCAGCAGGUAUGCAGAAAGUCGCCUCCGUGGUGGAAGGGUCUGAGUGGUAUAGACCCCAUAGCACAGCCUCCUUCGCCUCACACUCUCCGUGAUCUCCCCAGUCUCCUCUGAACAGCCAUAAAGCUAGUCAUUAAAAUGUGCCUCAAGGUCGGCAAUCAAUCUCAAGGGGGUUUUAGUUUAUUGUCUGGAGGAGGAAGCCUUCCACUGCCUCUCUUGUCACUGAAGAGGCAUCACAUAAAGGACCCUUUAAUCUCACCCAGACAUCUCAUGGGGCACCAUGGCGAGUAAGUCCCCUCCCUGGCAAACACACGGGCUCGUUAACAGGGACCUUUACCACCAGUGACACAAUGGAACUUUCUUUAUAAGGGUUGAAAGGGCACAGGAGUUGCAAAAUGUCUUAAGGGCCAUGAAUUGUAGACUCCUUCCUGCCCCUCUGCCUGGGGUCAAAUGUGGGGACACUCAUGCAUCGGUGCUAUGCCUCCUAUCCACUGUGCACCUUGCUCAUAGGUAUGUGGCCCUGUCAGAUUUCUCUGUCCAGGACCAUGUCUCUGUCUUGCCUGAUAUCCCCACUGGUGUGUCUCUCACAGUGCGGUGUAGUAUGAGGACACUCAGUGUGAAGAAUGUAAGCCACAGGGAGCCAGCUAAGGAACAUAGAAUCCUUGAGUUCACUCUGACUCAACACUGGGGUUUUGGGCCUUGUAGGAUACUUAGCAGUAUCCCUGAUCUCCACCAGU